AGUGAACGCUGGCGGUAGGCCUAACACAUGCAAGUCGAACGGCAGCACAGUAAGAGCUUGCUCUUACGGGUGGCGAGUGGCGGACGGGUGAGGAAUACAUCGGAAUCUACUUUUUCGUGGGGGAUAACGUAGGGAAACUUACGCUAAUACCGCAUACGACCUACGGGUGAAAGCAGGGGAUCUUCGGACCUUGCGCGAUUGAAUGAGCCGAUGUCGGAUUAGCUAGUUGGCGGGGUAAAGGCCCACCAAGGCGACGAUCCGUAGCUGGUCUGAGAGGAUGGUCAGCCACACUGGAACUUAGACACGGUCCAGACUCCUCCGGGAGGCAGCAGUGGGGAAUAUUGGACAAUGGGCGCAAGCCUGAUCCAGCCAUACCGCGUGGGUGAAGAAGGCCUUCGGGUUGUAAAGCCCUUUUGUUGGGAAAGAAAAGCAGCAGGUUAAUACCCCGCUGUUCUGACGGUACCCUAAGAAUAAGCACCGGCUAACUUCGUG
rnacentral:rRNA from 1 species